UGUAGUCAUAUGCUUGUCUCAAAGAUUAAGCCAUGCAUGUCUAAGUAUAAGCAAUCUAUACUGUGAAACUGCGAAUGGCUCAUUAAAUCAGUUAUCGUUUAUUUGAUAGUACCUUACUACUUGGAUAACCGUGGUAAUUCUAGAGCUAAUACAUGCUAAAAACCCCGACUUUUGGAGGGGUGUAUUUAUUAGAUAAAAAACCAAUGCCCUUCGGGGCUCCUUGGUGAUUCAUAAUAACUUAACGAAUCGCAUGGCCUUGUGCCGGCGAUGGUUCAUUCAAAUUUCUGCCCUAUCAACUUUCGAUGGUUAGGUCUUGGCUAACCAUGGUUUCAACGGGUAACGGGGAAUUAGGGUUCUAUUCCGGAGAGUGAGCCUGAGAAACGGCUAACACAUCCAAGGAAGGCAGCAGGCGCGCAAAUUACCCAAUCCCGACACGGGGAGGUAGUGACAAUAAAUACUGAUCCAGGGCUCUUUUGGGUCUUGGAAUUGGAAUGAGUACAAUUUAAAUCCCUUAACGAGGAACAAUUGGAGGGCAAGUCUGGUAAUCG
rnacentral:rRNA from 1 species